UCUGAGCUACUGUAGAAACAUGGCGGCCUCUGUGGAUGGUGACCUGCGGCAUCGGUAGAUACAAAAGGCUCAUUCUCUAUGUGUGUGUGUGUGUGUGUGUGUGUGUGUGUGUGUGUGUGUGUGCGCGCGCGUGUGUGUGUUGUGUGUGUGUGUGUGUGUGUGUGUGUGUGUGUGUGUGUGUGUGUGUGUGUGUUAGUGUGUGUGUGUGUGUGGGUGUGUGUGUGUGUGUGGGUGUGUGUGUUGCUUGGAGGAGGGACUCCAUCAUUUAGGGAAGUGAGUUUGGUGCUGUGAAGACGAAAGAGAGGCAGCGAUAAACCAUCAGAGUCUCUGAGAUGAAGGCCCGUCACACUUUGAUCUGCUUCUUCCUCCUCUCACUGCAGGAUGGAAACACUGGUCUCAUUAAUGCAGAAAACCUCGUCCGUACAGGAAGUGAAGGAGGAAACAUUACAGUUGUGUGCUCCUUCUCUUUCUCUGGAAGCAGGAAGAUCUUCUGUAAGAGAGAAUGUGAAGUAAAAGACAUUCUCAUUCAAACAGAUAAUAACAGAGCUCACAGUGGCAGAUACAGCAUUGAAUAUAAAGAAGGAUUUUAUCCAGAAUAUCUUACACUUCUGUAUGUGAGCAUCACAAAUCUGACUAAGUCUGACUCGGGGCAGUACAGAUGUUGGUUGGACAGAACUUUAAUAGAUUCAACCGAGGACUUUGAGCUCAGAGUUGAAGAUGCUCCGAUCGCUUCAAAACCAAACAGGAAAACCACCACCAAAGCACCUUUUACACCAUCAGUCCCAUCAGCCUCCACACUGACAACAACACAGAGUUUGAGCUCCAGUUCAGGAAGCUCCACACCUUCAUCAUCCUCCCCUGAAACCACCAACCAGCCUGAACAGCAACAGACAGCUGCAGGUCCAGAUCAAGUAUCCUUAGGAGUGGUGCUGUAUGUGAGUCUGACUCUGGUCAUGCUGAUCAUCGCAUUAUCAGCAGCUGUGCUGAUAUUCUGCAGGAAGAGGGCCAGUAAACCCAAAGAACCUCCUCUGGAAUCUGAGUAUGCUAAUGUGACAGUGGCCAACAGAGUGUAUGAGGAGAUCGGAGAGGAGGACAGACAGAGCAGAUCUCCUCCUGCAGAAAUAUCUACAGUUUACACUUACGCCAAAUACUCCAAACCAAAUGCAGUUGAAACCACAGAUGAGUACAGCCUUGUCAUUGCAGCCGGGUCUCCGAACAAAACUGAAGAUGACCUGAGUAAACUCACCUACUCUGAGGUGGAUUUCUCCAACAGUGCAGCUGCCUCGCCCAACAGCGCCCCCUGUGGUGAUGCAGAUAACGUGGUCUACUCUGUGCCUCGGUCAGAAGCGAGCUCGGAUGGCAGCCGCACUUAAGACGCUUCCCCUCCUCUGUACUCUACUGUUAGUUUGCAUCAGCUCCAACGCUGUCGAUGCCACAUUGACUCUCUCAGUGGUCAACAGGUGAACACACAGUGGUUUGAAGGAGUCACAUUCACUCACAGAAACCAGUUUGUUCCUGUAACAACCUGUGAGACGUUACGGCUCUCAGCUAGCUUCACGUUAGAGAUCCUUUCACUACUUCUACUUUAAGUUAAUCUCAUUUCAAAUAUUUUGGUUAAAGAUAUUAAAGUACUAUUAAAGUUUUCGUUAUUUUAUCUGUUUUAUACCAAAGUGUGACUACCAGCUGGUGUCCAAUUGUAAAGACUCACUGAAAGUGGAGUGAUAGAAAUUGAAGUUCCUGGGACUCAAAUAAAUAGACUCUUAAAUCUUUGUGGCUUAGUAGGUGGCAUGAAACUAACCAGUUACACAAAGUAACUUAAUGCAAAUGAAGUUGUGUAGUGAUUUGCAGAAAAAAAACGACAAAUAAAAAGUAAUGUAGUGUUGGAACAGGAAGUUUAAUCUUUAUCAAGUGUAGAUGAAUGUCAGUGAGGAAGAGGAUUUAUCAAUGGAAGCUUCUACCUCACUAGUGUGCAGUGAUUUUGUGCAAUUUAUUCCACCUUCUGCAAUUCAAUUCAAUUCAAUUCAAUUCAAUUUUAUUUGUAUAGCGCCAAUUCAUAACAGAAGUUAUCUCAGGACACUUUUCAAAUAGAGCAGGUCUAGACCGAACUCUUUAACAUUAAUUACAGAGACCCAACAGUACCACCAUGAGCAAGCACUUGGCGACAAGGGCAAGGAAAAACUGCCUGUUAAAAGGCAGAAACCUAGGACAGAUCCUCCGGCUCUAGGUGGGUGGUCGUCUGUCUCGACCAGUUGGGGUGAGAGAGAGAGAGAGAGAGAGAGAGAGAGAGAGAGCGACAGACAGACAGACAGGUGCACAGCAACAACAGUAUUGGCAAUGGCAGUCAAGCAGGACCAUGGCAGGAGGCUCCACCAGGAUCCAUGAGAACCUGCGAGACGAGAAAGCACAAGAACUCCGGGGAAGAAGUGGAGUUAGUAACAUGCAUUAAAGGGACAUGAAUGAGUGCAGAAAGAGAGAGGAAGAGAGUAGCUCAGUGCACCAUGGGAAAUCCCCCGAUAGUCUAGGCCUAUAGCAGCAUAACUAAGGGAUGGUUCAGGACUCACCUGAUCCAGCCCUAACUAUAAGCUUUAUCAAAGAGGAAUGUCUUAAGCCUACUCUUGAAAGUGGUGAGGGUGUCUGCCUCCCGAACCACAACUGGAAGNNNNNNNNNNNNNNNNNNNNNNNNNNNNNNNNNNNNNNNNNNNNNNNNNNNNNNNNNNNNNNNNNNNNNNNNNNNNNNNNNNNNNNNNNNNNNNNNNNNNAUUUACAUUUACAUUGCAUAGUUUUAAAGGUUGUCUUCCGUGAAUGAUUUUUCCUCAGACUCUGACACACAAAACUCUAGUGACUCAUAACUUUAUAUAUUUCUAUCCAUAUUUUUUCUUAGUGAGGGCUUUGUUCAUUACCACCCGCAGUCUCAUUUAUGAGUAUUGUAUUUACUUAACUGUUCAAGUAUUCUGAGAUGAUGUGACAAUAACAACCAUGAAAAUCCCUCUGAAAACACAACUGACUUAACAAAUAAAAAAAAAAAAAAUGUAUCAUUGAAUCACCUCUCACACCACCUGUAGUGUCUCAUCUUAAAUGAACUAUCUGUGUUUAUACCUUAACAAUAGGACUAUAUCAUUAGAGAUUUGUUUUUACCUUGUCACUUGAUUGAACAGGGAUUUUGCUGACAAGUUUUUGAAACGCCGGCGACUCAACUGUAGAAAAAUGUUCGGCAGUUCAGGAAAAAAAAUUUCAAAUCUUUGCAAUUAAAAAAAGUAAAUUCCUCCUCACAUUUUAUAUUGCUAUACACUCUUUAUAAUUACAUGUCUAUUUGAUAGACGCACUAUUGUACAGGAGAAAUUGUAGUAUGAAAUGAUGGGAGUUGCAUAAAGGGCCAGUUGAAGAUAAAUGUUUUUAUUGUUAGAUAUACACCGAUCAACAUUAUCACCACCUGGGCAUCGACUGUGGAGCAGCGUGCCUACAGGGCGUGCCAUCUUGGAACAGGGCUAGCAGAGGCAGCGAUGCAUCAACCUACGAAGGAAAGAGGAACUCCUCAAUCUCAAAGUAGAAUUAUUCGCUGAAUUUUGGACCGAUUUCCAAACGUAUUGAUUUGUUAAAAACGUCACACAUGUAGCUAUGAUACAGGGUGCUUGGAUAUUUUAAAAAUGCUGGUUUUACUACCCAAAUACAAAUUCUACUUAAUGUUAUCAGCAGCUGAGGUUCUGACAGAAGAUUUGUGAAUGAAAAGAUGUCGGACUUCUGUGCCGCGUAUGGAUGCUCUAUUGAGCGGAGCAUACAAACCAGAUCUCGUGGGAGACAGCGGAUCCUAUGUCUACAACAAUAAUAAUAAUAAUAAUGAUGAUGAUAGUGAUAUAAGUAUAAUAAUAACAUUAAUAAUAUAAUGUUAUUAUAUAUAAUAUAAUGAUAAGAAUAAUUAUAAUUAUAAUAUAAUGAUAAGAAUAGUAAUAACAGUACCAAUAUAAUAAUAAUAAUUAUUAUUAUGUUAUAAUUAUUAUAUAUAUGUUAUUAUUAUACUCAAAUGCAAUGUAUAUACCCUUCAAGCAAUACUUUAAAUAAAGACCUGAACACACCUGAAUGUUUUCUGGGUUCUUUUCGUUCUGUCUCUGUCUGUCUGUCUGUCUGUCAUGUCUGACGUUUAACAAACAAACCUUGUGAAAAUAGCUUGACAACUGAGCAAUUUAUUAUCACUUUUAUUGUGUAGAAACACCAUUCCUCCAUAGAUGUAAUCAUAGACGGAUGCUGUAGGAGCGAGUGGCCCUGUUCCAAGAUUAUUAUUAUUGUUGCUAUUAUUAUUAUUAUUUCUACAUUAUUAUUGCUAUUAUCAUUAUAUUAUUAUUAUUAUUAUUAUUGCUAUUGCUAUUAUUAUAUUAAUAUUAUAUUAUUAUUGUUAAUAUUAUAUUAUCAUCAUUAUUAUUAUUAACUAUAUAUAACUAUAACUAGCUCUAUCGUUGCCUCCGGUUCACGUCUAACAUGUGAACAGCAACAACACACAUACACUAGGGGGGCUUCAGUAUAACAACAAAGCUAAUGUUUCAUGAGCUCACGUUAGCAAGUCAGUAAAAAAGGGACAGUUAUUCUCUCUCCAUAUUACAACAUAAAGUUCGACAUCGGACUUAAUAAUACUAGUCAAUUCUAAUUUUGUAUUUGUAUAGCGGCAAUUCAUAACAGAAGUUUUCUGAGGACACUUUUCAAAUAGAGCAGGUCUAGACCGAACUCCUUGUCAGUGCUAUUACUGCAUUUAUGCUAACGGUAUGGAUCAAAGUUUAAUCAGUUGUGGUUUCACAAACACAGCCAGUACAGCUGUACGGUGCUAAUCAAAGGUACACAGCCUUACUAUACAAAUUAAUUUCUCCAGUUUGACCACUUUCUUACACAAAGCUUAGUGUGUUCUCUCGUUCCCUGCUUUAAUAUAACUAGCUCUAUCGUUACCUCCGGUUCACGUCUAACAUGUGAACAGCAACAACACACAUACACUAGGGGGGCUUCAGUAUAACAACAAAGCUAAUGUUUCAUGAGCUCACGUUAGCAAGUCAGUAAAAAGGGACAGUUAUUCUCUCUCCAUAUUACAACAUAAAGUUCGACAUCGGACUUAAUAAUACUAGUUCAAUUCAAUUUGAUUUGUAUAGCGCCAAUUCAUAACAGAAGUUUUCUGAGGACACUUUUCAAAUAGAGCAGGUCUAGACCGAACACUGUAAAAAGACUAUUGUAGAGUUUACAGUAACUUACUGGCAGCACGAUGCCAGUAAGUUACUGUAAAAGUACU
rnacentral:lncRNA from 15 species